UCAAGCUACAAAGGGCGCAUGGUGAAUGCCUUGGCAUCAGGAGCCGAUGAAGGACGUGAUAAGCUGCGAUAAGCUUCGGGUAGGCGCACAUAGCCUGAGAUCCGAAGAUUUCCGAAUGAGGAAACUCACAUGGGAAACCCCAUGUAUCAUUAAGUGAAUACAUAGCUUAAUGAAGGUAACCCAGGGAACUGAAACAUCUAAGUACCUGGAGGAAGAGAAAGAAAAAUCGAUUUUCUUAGUAGCGGCGAGCGAAAGGGAAAGAGCCCAAACCGGAAACUUGUUUCCGGGGUUGUGGACAUAGCAUAAAAGUGGAGGCUAUUGUAACUGAAGAGAACUGGAAAGUUCCACCGUAGAAGGUAAUAGUCCUGUAAGUGAAACGAGAAGACCACGAGUUAUGAUCCAGAGUACCACGAGACACGUGAAACCUUGUGGGAAGCAGGGAGGACCACCUCCCAAGGCUAAAUACUACCUGAUGACCGAUAGUGAAGCAGUACCGUGAGGGAAAGGUGAAAAGAACCCCGGGAGGGGAGUGAAAUAGAACCUGAAACCGUGUGCCUACAACCGCUCAGAGCCCCUUAUGAGGGUGAUGAGGUGCUUUUUGUAGAACGAGCCAACGAGUUACGGUAUGUAGCAAGGUUAAGUACUUAAGGUACGGAGCCGAAGGGAAACCGAGUCUGAAUAGGGCGACUAGUUGCAUGCCGUAGACCCGAAACCGGGUGACCUAUCCAUGGCCAGGUUGAAGCGAGGGUAAAACCUCGUGGAGGACCGAACCACGUUGCUGUUGAAAAAGCAUGGGAUGAGCUGUGGAUAGCGGAGAAAUUCCAAUCGAACUCGGAGAUAGCUGGUUCUCUCCGAAAUAGCUUUAGGGCUAGCGUCGAGUAUGAGUAGUGGAGGUAGAGCACUGAAUGGGCUAGGGGGCAUAGCGCUUACCGAACCUUAUCAAACUCCGAAUGCCACAUACUUUGAGCUCGGCAGUCAGACUACGAAUGAUAAGAUCCGUGGUCAAAAGGGAAACAGCCCAGAUCGUCAGCUAAGGUCCCAAAGUGUAAGUUAAGUGGGAAAGGAUGUGAGAUUUCUAAGACAACUAGGAUGUUGGCUUAGAAGCAGCCAUUCAUUAAAAGAGUGCGUAAUAGCUCACUAGUCGAGAGAUCUUGCGCCGAAAAUGUAACGGGGCUAAACUUACCACCGAAGCUACGGGCUUGAACUUAGUUCAAGCGGUAGGAGAGCGUCGUAACCGGGCUGAAGUCGUACCGUAAGGAGCGGUGGACUGGUUACGAGUGAGAAUGUUGGCAUCAGUAGCGAGAUGUGGGUGAGAAUCCCACAGGCCGAAAACCUAAGGUUUCCUCAGGAAGGUUCGUCCGCUGAGGGUUAGUCGGGACCUAAGCCGAGGCCGAAAGGCGUAGGUGAUGGACAACUGGUUGAUAUUCCAGUACCACUACCAUCGUUAUUAUCGAUGGCGUGACGCAGGAGGAUAGUGUGUGCUAGCUAUUGGAUGCUAGUCUAAACGUUUAGGCAGUGAGAGUAGGCAAAUCCGCUCUCAUAAUGCUGAGGCGUGAUGGGGAAGGUUCUACGGAACCGAAGUACAUGAUUCCACGCUGCCAAGAAAAGCGUCUAGAGAGAGAAGUAGUGCCCGUACCGCAAACCGACACAGGUAGGUGAGGAGAGAAUCCUAAGGCCGGCGGAAGAAUUACAGUUAAGGAACUCGGCAAAUUGACCCCGUAAGUUCGCGAGAAGGGGUGCCUACGAGAGUAGGCCGCAGAGAAUAGGCCCAAGCAACUGUUUAGCAAAAACACAGGUCUCUGCUAAAGCGUAAGCUGAUGUAUAGGGGCUGACGCCUGCCCGGUGCUGGAAGGUUAAGGGGAACACUUAGCGCAAGCGAAGGUGUGAACUUAAGCCCCAGUAAACGGCGGCCGUAACUAUAACGGUCCUAAGGUAGCGAAAUUCCUUGUCAGGUAAGUUCUGACCCGCACGAAUGGCGUAAUGACUUGGGCACUGUCUCAACUGUAAAUCCGGCGAAGUUGUAGUGCGAGUGAAGAUGCUCGCUACCCGCGAUUGGACGGAAAGACCCCGUAGAGCUUUACUGUAGCUUAGCAUUGAGUUUUGGUAUUGUCUGUACAGGAUAGGUGGGAGACUAGGAAACCAGGGCGUCAGCCUUGGUGGAGUCAACCUUGGGAUACCACCCUGACAGUACUGAAAUUCUAACUGGCGGCCAUGAAUCUGGUCACAGGACAUUGUUAGGUGGGCAGUUUGACUGGGGCGGUCGCCUCCUAAAAAGUAACGGAGGCGCCCAAAGGUUCCCUCAGAACGGUCGGAAAUCGUUCGAAGAGUGCAAAGGCAGAAGGGAGCCUGACUGCGACACCUACAAGUGGAGCAGGGACGAAAGUCGGGCUUAGUGAUCCGGUGGUACCUCGUGGGAGGGCCAUCGCUCAACGGAUAAAAGCUACCUCGGGGAUAACAGGCUGAUCUCCCCCAAGAGUCCACAUCGACGGGGAGGUUUGGCACCUCGAUGUCGGCUCGUCGCAUCCUGGGGCUGAAGUAGGUCCCAAGGGUUGGGCUGUUCGCCCAUUAAAGCGGCACGCGAGCUGGGUUCAGAACGUCGUGAGACAGUUCGGUCCCUAUCCGUCGCGGGCGUAGGAAAUUUGAGAGGAGCUGUCCUUAGUACGAGAGGACCGGGAUGGACUGACCUCUGGUGUACCAGUUGUUCCGCCAGGAGCACAGCUGGGUAGCUAAGUCGGGAAUGGAUAAACGCUGAAAGCAUCUAAGCGUGAAGCCAACCUCAAGAUGAGAUUUCCCAUAGCAUAAGCUAGUAAGAUCCCUUGAAGAACACAAGGUUGAUAGGUCGGGGGUGUAAGCAUGGUAACAUGUUCAGCUGACCGAUACUAAUAGAUCGAGGGCUUGACCAA
rnacentral:rRNA from 1 species